AAAAUAGAUACCCGGGUAGUCCACGCCCUAAACGAUGCGAACUGGAUGUUGGGUACAUUACGGGUACUCAGUGUCGAAGCUAACGCGUUAAGUUCGCCGCCUGGGGAGUACGGUCGCAAGACUGAAACUCAAAGGAAUUGACGGGGGCCCGCACAAGCGGUGGAGUAUGUGGUUUAAUUCGAUGCAACGCGAAGAACCUUACCUGGCCUUGACAUCUGUCGAAUCCUGCAGAGAUGCGGGAGUGCCGCAAGGAACGACAAGACAGGUGCUGCAUGGCUGUCGUCAGCUCGUGUCGUGAGAUGUUGGGUUAAGUCCCGCAACGAGCGCAACCCUUGUCCCUAGUUGCCAGCACGUAAUGGUGGGAACUCUAGGGAGACUGCCGGUGACAAACCGGAGGAAGGUGGGGAUGACGUCAAGUCCUCAUGGCCCUUAGGCCAGGGCUACACACGUACUACAAUGGUCGGUACAGAGGGUUGCGAAGCCGCGAGGUGGAGCCAAUCCCAGAAAACCGAUCCCAGUCCGGAUUGGAGU
rnacentral:rRNA from 1 species